CAUGCAUCUAAUCACUCCCUGGAGUGUUGUGUGUUUAUAGGUGUGUAAUCAGGUCCUGUUCUCACCUCAGAAAAUACAUGCAUCUAAUCACUCCCUGGAGUGUUGUGUGUUUAUAGGUGUGUAAUCAGGUCCUGUUCUCACCUCAGAAAAUACAUGCAUCUAAUCACUCCCUGGAGUGUUGUGUGUUUAUAGGUGUGUAAUCAGGUCCUGUUCUCACCUCAGAAAAUACAUGCAUCUAAUCACUCCCUGGAGUGUUGUGUGUUUAUAGGUGUGUAAUCAGGUCCUGUUCUCACCUCAGAAAAUACAUGCAUCUAAUCACCCCCUGGAGUGUUGUGUGUUUAUAGGUGUGUAAUCAGGUCCUGUUCUCACCUCAAAUACAUGCAUCUAAUCACCCCCUGGAGUGUUGUGUGUUUAUAGGUGUGUAAUCAGGUCCUGUUCUCACCUCAAAUACAUGCAUCUAAUCACUCCCUGGAGUGUUGUGUGUUUAUAGGUGUGUAAUCAGGUCCUGUUCUCACCUCAAAUACAUGCAUCUAAUCACCCCCUGGAGUGUUGUGUGUUUAUAGGUGUGUAAUCAGGUCCUGUUCUCACCUCAGAAAAUACAUGCAUCUAAUCACCCCCUGGAGUGUUGUGUGUUUAUAGGUGUGUAAUCAGGUCCUGUUCUCACCUCAAAUACAUGCAUCUAAUCACUCCCUGGAGUGUUGUGUGUUUAUAGGUGUGUAAUCAGGUCCUGUUCUCACCUCAAAUACAUGCAUCUAAUCACUCCCUGGAGUGUUGUGUGUUUAUAGGUGUGUAAUCAGGUCCUGUUCUCACCUCAGAAAAUACAUGCAUCUAAUCACCCCCUGGAGUGUUGUGUGUUUAUAGGUGUGUAAUCAGGUCCUGUUCUCACCUCAAAUACAUGCAUCUAAUCACUCCCUGGAGUGUUGUGUGUUUAUAGGUGUGUAAUCAGGUCCUGUUCUCACCUCAGAAAAUACAUGCAUCUCAAAUCAAAUGUA